GGUAUUUUGUUUUGAUCGUCGCGAAGUGUCGAUGCACGGCCGACAAUCAAUUAAAUCCGCUGGAAACUUGGAUACCUCGUGCACAAUUCGAUCAAACGGAUCUGAAGUGAAGGAACAUUAACCUGUUGAGAUCGAGUGCCGCUAGUCCCAACCGGGUGCUGCAUGUUAAGAUACAUCAACAACACAUUUGGAUGACUUUCGAGGACAUGUGGAGAACCUGAUGGUUCAAAUCUUAUUCCAAAAUAAAUUAAUACUAAUGCGGAUGUCGUGGAUCUCUCUACAUGGAACGCUAUCACCGGAUGCAUGAUUCGUUUUCAACGGAAAGGUUAAAUACACUCAGAAAUGAAAAAAAUAUAAAAUUAUUAUUUUUCAUGUAUUUUCCCGCUUCACCGUGCCCACUCACUGAGUUAUUUCUCGGCGUGUAAUAACUGAAAUAUUUCUCGUCGAGAAAUAUCUCGGGUAUUAAAAAUUUGAGAAAUAUCUACGACAGUGACAUCUGGUGGUGGUGGAUGGAACGAAAUUUAAAUUGGUGGUUGCACUUCAGGAUUAAUUUCAAUUCAAUUUUUAAAAUAUUUGAUAAUUUUUCAUUUUAUUUUAAUUUUAAAAAUAUCACAAAAAUAAAAAUAAAUUUUUUCGGCAUAUUUGCAAACU